rnacentral:rRNA from 1 species
AUUGAACGCUGGCGGCAGGCCUAACACAUGCAAGUCGAGCGGAUGAAGGGAGCUUGCUCCUGGAUUCAGCGGCGGACGGGUGAGUAAUGCCUAGGAAUCUGCCUGGCAGUGGGGGAUAACGUCCGGAAACGGGCGCUAAUACCGCAUACGUCCUGAGGGAGAAAGUGGGGGAUCUUUGGACCACACGCUAUCAGAUGAGCCUAGGUCGGAUUAGCUAGCUGGUGGGGUAAAGGCCUACCAAGGCGACGAUCCGUAACUGGUCUGAGAGGAUGAUCAGUCACACUGGAACUGAGACACGGUCCAGACUCCUACGGGAGGCAGCAGUGGGGAAUAUUCGGCAAUGGGCGAAAGCCUGAUGCAGCCAAGCCGCGUGUGUGAAGAAGGUCUUCGGAUUGUAAAGCACUGUUAGUUGGGAAGAACAGAAGUGAAUUUAAAUCUUCCUGUCUUGACGUUACCUAAACAAAAAGCCCCGGCUAACUUCGUG